UACGGAGGGGGCAAGCGUUGUUCGGAAUUACUGGGCGUAAAGGGCGCGCAGGCGGCUGCUCAAGUCAGGCGUGAAAGGCCUGGGCUCAACCCGGGAAUUGCGCUUGAGACUGGGCUGGCUUGAGUGCGGGAGAGGAUGGUGGAAUUCCCAGUGUAGAGGUGAAAUUCGUAGAUAUUAGGAAGAACACCAGUGGCGAAGGCGGCUCACUGGCCCGGUACUGACGCUGAGGCGCGAAAGCGUGGGGAGCGAACAGG
rnacentral:rRNA from 1 species